AUUGAACGCUGGCGGCAGGCCUAACACAUGCGAGUCGAGCGAGCGGCGGACGGGUGAGUAAUGUAUGGGGACUGCCCGAUAGAGAGGGAUAACUACUGGAAACGGUGGCUAAUACCGCAUACUGUCGGAUAACCCAUAUGGGGUUGGCUAGUAGGUAGGGUAAUGGCUUACCUAGGCGACGAGCCCUCGCUGGUCUGAGCGGAUGAGCAGCCACACUGGGACUGAGACACGGCCCAGACUCCUACGGAGGCAGCAGUGGGGAAUAUUUCACAAUGGACGAAAUUUUGACGGAGCAACGCCGCGGUAGUGAUGACGGCCUUCGGGUUGUAAAGCUCUGGUAAUCGGGAGACGGUACCGGAAUAGAAAGCCACGGCUAACUACGUGCCAGCAGCCGCGGUAAUUC
rnacentral:rRNA from 1 species